CAGCAGCCGCGGGAAUACGUAGGGCGCAAGCGUUGUCCGGAAUUAUUGGGCGUAAAGAGCUCGUAGGCGGUCUGUCGCGUCUGGUGUGAAAUCCCGAGGCUCAACCUCGGGCUUGCAUCGGGUACGGGCAGACUAGAGUGCGGUAGGGGAGACUGGAAUUCCUGGUGUAGCGGUGGAAUGCGCAGAUAUCAGGAGGAACACCGAUGGCGAAGGCAGGUCUCUGGGCCGCAACUGACGCUGAGGCGCGAAAGCAUGGGGAGCGAACAGGAUUAGAUACCCCAGUAGUCCCUGUCUCUUAUAC
rnacentral:rRNA from 1 species